CGACGGUCUACUAGAAGUUGGUAUAUCACCUUAUAAUGGAUUCACUUAUGAUCAUAUAUAUGGAACCAAGUUUGGAGGAACUCUUUUCGAUAGAUUUGGUCAUCGGAAGACUGCAGCUGAUCUUCUCACCUCAGCCAAUCCUGAGAAGCUUGAUGUUUUGGUGCAUGCGAUGGUUCAAAAGAUUGAAUUUGACACAUCAGGAAGGAAGCCAAGAGCAGUAGGAGUCAUCUUCAAAGACGAAAAGGGGAACCAACACACAGCAUUCCUUUCAAAG
rnacentral:misc_RNA from 1 species